CUGUGUGUGUUUCUACCCUUAGACUCUUAGCUGAAGAAGUGUCUUUAGAGUAAAUCUCUUGACAUUUAUUUUGGUCCUUCGUAGCCGGGGCAGAAACAUCAGAACUGUUAUCUGUGACUCUGUUCCAGGAUCUGGCAUACUGUUUCCUGACGCCGUGGAGCCAGCACCGAAGUCUGUGCACAGCCCUCUUAGACGAGGCCGAAAGCCCUGGAACGUGUGAAUUCGGGUCCAGGCCGGUGUUUUUAGUCUGGUCCACGGCGGCGGGAUUCAGUCUGACGAUCCGAAUCACCAGUGAGACGUCUGAGAGGUGAGAAACACUACUUUGGUUAGGAAUCGCCAUAAUGAACCGACAAAUAAAAUAGGUUAGGAAUCGCCUUAAUGAACCGACAAAUAAAAUAGGUUAGGAAUCGCCAUAAGGAACCGAAUUAGUAAAAGCGCGCAAAUGUCUAUGUGUGUGUAUGUGUCUGGAAGUAAGUUGAUUUUACAGCACAAUACGCUGCUGAACUACUUCUAUUUUAUUUGUUUUCUUUGCUGAGGCUCACGUACUGGUGACAAAUGAGAACGGUUGAGUUUUAUCUCGUAAAACUGAUACCCCUUCAUUUUUUAGAAGUGAAGUAGAAGGGCGUAUCAGCAACCACUCUGAAGUCAAGCGUGCCAGUGACAGCCCAGCAAAAUCUUUGACAAU